rnacentral:rRNA from 1 species
GAUGAACGCUGGCGGCGUGCCUAAUACAUGCAAGUCGAGCGAACAGACGAGGAGCUUGCUCCUCUGACGUUAGCGGCGGACGGGGGAGGAACACGUGGAUAACCAACCUAUAGGCCUGGACUAACGUCGGAGAACGGGAACUAAUACCGAAUAAUAUAUUGAACCGCAGGGUGGAGUAGGAGAAGAGGGUUUUGUUUCUACUGUUUGGUGACUCGCCGCCGGAUUAGCAGGUUGGUAAGGUAACGGCUAUCCAAGGCCACGAUGGGUAGCCGACCGGAGCGGGUGAUCGGCCACCCUGGAACUGAGACACGGUCCCGGCUCCUACGGGGAGCAGCAGCAGGGAAUCUUCCGCAAUGGGCGGAAGCCUGACGGAGCAACGGCGACUGAGUGAUGGAGGUCUUCGGAUCGUAAAACUCUGUUAUUAGGGAAGAACAAAUGUGUAAGUAACUAUGCACGUCUUGACGGUACCUAAACAGAAAGCCCCGGCUAACUACGUG